UGAGAAAGAAAUGGCUUUUUGAAAGCAACAGCAGAAGCAAUCCUGGGCUUCCUUUUAGAAGGAGAAGCCGCUCGCCAGUCGCCACUGUAGCGUUAAUGAAUUUUUCAAAAUACCAACACCUACCCUCAUGAACUACACGGUCCAUCCUGUCUUCUUCGUGAAAACCCUACUGAGGAGACGCUGCUCUUCUGUUCCUCAACUCCCUGUCUUCUCCCUCAACUCUCUCUCUAUCGGGAUCACAGGCAUCACCAACUCCGGUCACCUGAUGACACGACCUGGCCGUACGCUCUAUCACCAACUGCUUGCUGACUCAUUGAUACUCCGGUCGAAGAGGAACACCGAUUCUGUCUACUUCAACGCCUCUCGCCCAUCUCCAGCAAAAAGAUUAAGCCUUUGUUUGUGAUUUCAUGUUUUGGAGCUUGCUGGUAACGCAGCUAGGGACAAUAAGAAGAGUCGUAUUGUACCAAGGCGCAUCCAACUAGCGGUGAGGAAUGACGAGGAGCUAAGCAAGAUAUUGGGGUCUGUGACUAUUGCCAAUGGAGGAGUUUUGCCCAACAUUCACCAAACUCUUUUGCCUAAGAAGGUUGGGAAAGGCAAGGGCGAUGUUGAAUCUGCUUCUCCAGAGUUCUAGGGUUCUUGCUCUUUGUGUCUCUCCUUCUAUGGAGAUGUUUAGUUACCUCAGUAGUAAAAUGCCAUGGCUUUUGUUAGGGUUUUCUUGGAACCUUGUUGGUCUGGUACUUGGAAUCUUAUGCUAUGAAGGAAUGGUUAUGCUAGUAGUUUGAUGAA